AGAAACCGGGUCUUUCUGUAAUUCCCCUGAUGCUACCCACAGCAGGUGCAGCCCAGGAGUCAGCAGCGCCUGUGCCACUGGGGACUCCCCUGUCCCCAAGCAGGUGUCAGAUCUCAGAAGCAGGCUCUCUGCCAACUCCCUACUUCCCUUUUCCCAGGGCAAAACUCAGGAGGUGCCCACCUGGCUGAUGUCGGUGAGGCUCCCGUGGCCCAGGCACCCAUUGCUGCCACUGCCAAAGGUCAUGAUGAUGCCACGGUCUAGUGGAGGAAGGAUGAGGCGCCCAGAGCGAGUGACCCCCGCCUUCUGCGUGCGCCCCGCGGCCACUUGGACCACCUCUGUGUUGAGCAUCGGUAGCCGCAGGGGGGCGCUGAGGCCGCCGCCCCAGGCAUACACGGACGACAGUGGCGGCGGAAUGGCUGGCCUCCCGGGUCCCCGAGGGACGCCUGCAGAGACAGCAUGUGCAGCCCAUCAACUGCAGGGAGUUGCAGCGCUUCUGGAUGAACUCCGCCAGUGUGCCACCUGGGGCCCAAGGAACCAACUGGAAUCCAGGGUUGUCCACGCUCCCCCUCCCCACUACUGCUGCAGCCCCAUCUUCUGGAACAGUACCCUGGAACCAGAGAGGGCAUGUAGCUUGCCAGGGUUACACAACUGGGUCAGAACUCUAAACCUCUGAUUCAUCAGCCAUGCCCAUCCAAGGGAAAGACAUCACUGGACCCUGUCAAACCAAAGCGGUGAAGGACGCUCGCAGCCAAGCCUGUGUGAGGAGGGGGGCUUACCUGGUGCAUACUCCAUGGCGAUCAUGAGGGCCUUGUCCUCCAGGAAAUUCUCGUAGUAUUCGAUGACAUUAGGGUGGUUGAGCAGCUUGAGCACCUGGCACUCGUUCUGGGCCGCCUGCCGCUCCUCCUUGGUCAUCUGCUCCACAGGGAUCUGCUUGAUAAUCACCAGCUUCUGGUCAGCCUUGCGCAAGCACAGGUGCACAAUCCUGGGGACACGGAGUGGGAGCUGAGCACAGAGCAAUGCAGUAUGGACCCAGGGACUGGACGGUCCCUCGAAGAGGGGCAGGGGCACCAUGGCCCAAAGGUCACUGAAGCAAGAGCACAGGACACUGAGUGAGCUGGCCAGUGGGGAGACCUGAUCACAGACUCUGUGUGACAUGUCUGCUUUACCACAGCUACAAGGAGCUGAAGUUAGUUGGGAGUUACAUGCCUAGGUUCAAAUCCUGGAUCCUCUUCUUACUAUUUAUACCUCUUGGAGAUAUUAGUGGACAACAUGUGGGAAACAGGGCUGCUGAGAGGAUCCAGAGAGGAAAAUGCAUGAAAGGCACUUAGCGUGGUGUUUGGCACACAGACGCUGACCAAUGAAUGGAAGCCAGGUCCACCAUUAUUCCAUUUCAAUUCCUGGCCUGUGUCCAUCAGAGCAAGGGUCCUCUCAUUCUUGUUCACCACUACUACACAGCCCAGUGGUCAGCACACAGGAGUUUAAGAAGUGUUUGCUCAGCAGACGAUUAGAACUUGACGGUGCAAGUCUCCAAUGCUCAUCUCUAGCUCAGGUCUCUCCUUGGAGCCCCAGGCCACACGUCAUCUCCGCCCAAAUGGCUGACCACCAGCCUACAUUUUUAACAAAUUAAAAAACAAAAUCCUUGAUUCCCAGCCCUA